UACGAGGAUGGGAACAAGAUUCUUUA
rnacentral:piRNA from 1 species